rnacentral:rRNA from 1 species
UAAGGAAUAUUGGACAAUGGAGGCAACUCUGAUCCAGCCAUGCCGCGUGAAGGAAUAAGGCCCUAUGGGUUGUAAACUUCUUUUAGACGGGACAAAACCCCUUUACGUGUAAAGGGUUGAUGGUACUGUCAGAAUAAGCAUCGGCUAACUUCGUGCCAGCAGCCGCGGUAAUACGAAGGAUGCCAGCGUUAUCCGGAAUUAUUGGGUUUAAAGGGUGCGUAGGCGGACUAAUAAGUCAGUGGUGAAAGCCUGCAGCUUAACUGCAGAUUGGCCAUUGAUACUGUUGGUCUUGAGUACAGUUGAGGUUGGCGGAAUGUGUCAUGUAGCGGUGAAAUGCUUAGCUAUGACACAGAACACCGAUUGCGAAGGCAGCUUGCUAAGCUGUAACUGACGCU